UGAGCAAUGAGGAUAGAAGUUCAAUUGAUAAAAGCUGAUGACUGUAUACGCUAUUCUGAGCCCUGG